AAGAUCAAGAGGAGAUAGUUCUUCAAGAAGAACUGCGUAAGGCCAGUGUGAUCUGUAUAGUUUAUUCUGUUGUGGAUGAAGAUUCUAUUCAAAGGUUGACUAGCUACUGGCUGCCUUACUUAAGAUAUACUUUAGGAGAUGAUCACAGAACUCCAGUGAUUUUAGUAGGAAACAAAGUUGAUCUAACAGAUAUACAGACACUAGAGAGUAUUCUUCCAAUAAUGAACGACUUUGGAGAAGUUGAAACUUGUGUGGAGUGCUCUGCUAGGACUCUUAAAAAUAUUAGUGAAGUUUUCUACUACGCUCAGAAAGCUGUUCUUCAUCCAACGGCUCCAGUUUACAACCCAGAUGAAAAAGAGCUAACACCACAAGCAAAGAAAGCUUUGACAAGAAUAUUUAGAAUCUGUGACCUUGACAAUGAUAAUGUAUUGAGUGAUGAGGAGAUUAAUUU
rnacentral:sRNA from 1 species